AGAGAGAGCUUGCUUUCUCGAGCGAGUGGCGGACGGGUGAGUAACGCGUGAGGAACCUGCCUUUCAUGGGGGACAACAGUUGGAAACGACUGCUAAUACCGCAUAAUGUACUUUGGGGGCAUCCCCGAGGUACCAAAGAUUUAUUGCUGAAAGAUGGCCUCGCGUCUGAUUAGAUAGUUGGUGAGGUAACGGCUCACCAAGUCGACGAUCAGUAGCCGGACUGAGAGGUUGAACGGCCACAUUGGGACUGAGACACGGCCCAGACUCC
rnacentral:rRNA from 1 species